rnacentral:rRNA from 1 species
UACGUAGGGGGCUAGCGUUGUCCGGAAUCAUUGGGCGUAAAGAGCGUGUAGGCGGCCCGGUAAGUCCGCUGUAAAAGUCAAAGGCUCAACCUUUGAAUGUCAGUGGAUACUGCCGGGCUAGAGUCCGGAAGAGGCGAGUGGAACUCCUGGUGUAGCGGUGGAAUGCGCAGAUAUCAGGAAGAACACCAACGGCGAAGGCAGCUCGCUGGGACGGUACUGACGCUGAGACGCGAAGGCGUGGGGAGCGAACGGG